rnacentral:rRNA from 1 species
UGGCUCAGAACGAACGCUGGCGGCAUGCCUUACACAUGCAAGUCGAACGGCAGCACGGGUGCUUGCACCUGGUGGCGAGUGGCGAACGGGUGAGUAAUACAUCGGAACGUACCUUAUCGUGGGGGAUAACGCAGCGAAAGCUGUGCUAAUACCGCAUACGCCCUGAGGGGGAAAGCGGGGGAUCGCAAGACCUCGCGCGAUUAGAGCGGCCGAUGCCUGAUUAGCUUGUUGGUGGGGUAAAAGCCCGGCAAAGCGACGAUCAGUAGCUGGUCUGAGAGGACGAUCAGCCACUUUUGCUUUGAGACACGGACCAGACUCCUACGGGAG